GUUGUUAGGUUUAGCGACUAAGCGUACACGGUGUAUGCCUAGGCAUUAAUAGGAGAUGAAGGGCGUGCUAAUCUGCGAUAAGCGUCGGUAAGCUGAUAUGAGGCGUUAUACCCGACGAUACCCGAAUGGGGAAACCCAGUGUGUUUCGACACACUAUCAUGACAUGAAUACAUAGUGUCAUGAGGCGAACCGGGGGAACUGAAACAUCUCAGUACCCCGAGGAAAAGAAAUCAACCGAGAUUCCCUCAGUAGCGGCGAGCGAACGGGGAGGAGCCCAGAACCUGAAUCAGUUUGUGUGUUAGUGGAAGCGUCUGGAAAGUCGCACAGUAAAGGGUGAUAGUCCCGUACACAAAAAUGCACAGAUUGUGAGUUCGAUGAGUAGGGCG
rnacentral:rRNA from 1 species